rnacentral:misc_RNA from 1 species
UGUAGGAAACAUAGGAAAGGUGUUCCAAAUUAACUACGAAAAUCUUAGACUCAAUUAUGUCAAAUUUGACCCAGACCCGACAGUUCGACAGACGGUCUGGUCACUGUGUUUAGGGUUUUAUUUAGUGGCCUUCGGCAUGGCAUUCAACCAGGCAACGGUUCAGAGGAUAAGUUCCGUUAAGUCUUUACAAGAAGGCAAACGAAUUAUGUAUUUUGCUGCUCCAGCCUUCUUCAUUAUCGCCCUUAUAGUCAAUAUUGAAGGUCUAGUGAUGUUUGCCUACUUUAAUGUCGUCGGCUAAGAUCCCAUUGAAUCAGGUCAGAUAAAGAAUGCUAGUCAGUUGCUACCCCACAUGGUGGUGAGGAUAUUUCACGGUCUUCCUGGACUCUCCGGGCUGUUUCUCGCUUCUUUGUUCAGUGCCUCAUUAAGCACAAUUUCAUCUGGACUAAGUUGUCUAAGUGCUCAGACAGUACAAGACUUCAUUAAACCCCGAUAUAAUGACAUGUCCGAUGGAAAAGCCACGGCGAUUGCCAAAGUAUCAGUCUUUUUCUACGGAGGGAUGUCUGUCGCUGUCACAGCGCUGAUAGCCAAUGUUUCGGGAUCUAUGAGUCAGAUAGCUGCUUCAAUACUUACCUGUUUUGGAGGUCCUCUGUCCGGCAUGUUCCUCUUUUCCAUGUUUUGUCCAUGGGCAACUAAAAAGGGUGUCGUCAUCGGCGGGGUAAUAUCGAUGAUAUUUGUUUUCUGGAUAUCCCUUGGACAAAACUUCUUCACGUCUAAACCAAGUGAGCCUUGGCUGCCACCAAACCCAACAGAUCAAUGCUCUCUGGAUUCGACAUUCUACACAAACACAACUUUGAUGACUAAUUCAACUGUUUGCUACAACUCAUCAGCUUGACAUCCGUCGCAUCCUAGCAACACAUCUUCACGAAUAACAUCAUACCAAAAAGAAAUGGAAAUCUUCAAUACCAUCAAAGCACAAGGUAUUGACAAGUUAUUUUCCCUGUCGUUUCGUUGGUUUGGGGACGUGGGACUACUAUUGACGAUUGUGAUAGGAU